GGCGGCAACAGCGCGGUGGUCCCACCUGACCCCAUGCCGAACUCAGAAGUGAAACGCCGUAGCGCCGAUGGUAGUGUGGGGCCUCCCCAUGCGAGAGUAGGGAACUGCCAGGC
rnacentral:rRNA from 2 species